AGGAAUGGGAGAACUAAACAGUGAGAAUAUGAAGUUAACAUUAAGGGAAGGGAGGAAUGAACUGAAUGAAAAAGGGGAAAAUAGAGGUAACCUAGGUGGGUUUUGUUUAUGUUCCUUUGUUAAAUUACUGUUGUUCUAGUGGUGACUGGGAGCCAAUUACAGGGUUUGGGGGAGAUAAGAAAGUGAUUCUGGAGAGAAGAGUAAAUCCAAUUUGAGCAGCAGCAUGUGUAACUGCUGAGAAGGGAAGCAGUGCUCCAAGUUAAUGAGGAAGAUUGAUGUACCACUGUUUAAAUAGACCUAACUGUUAAAUAGACCUAUUAUUUGUGUCAAAAUAGAACUGUAUUUUAAAAAUUGAAAUGUCUUCAUGUAUGAAGGAAAAAGUAUUUUUUGUACUAUUAAACAUUGCUUGGGUUCUGGUAGAUUUAUUGCAAAUUCUCUUUCUCUAGGGUUUGGAUUCAGGAUUUGUUCCUAGUGUCCAAGAUUUUGAUAAGAAACUUACAGAAGCUGAUGCUUACCUACAAAUCUUGAUUGAACAAUUAAAGCUUUUUGAUGACAAGCUUCAAAACUGCAAAGAAGAUGAACAGAGAAAGAAAAUUGAAACUCUCAAAGAGACAACAAAU
rnacentral:sRNA from 1 species